UUCUAAGGGCGUUGAAGCAUGAUCGUAAGGACAUGUGGAGCGCUUAGAAGUGAGAAUGCCGGUGUGAGUAGCGAAAGACGGGUGAGAAUCCCGUCCACCGAUUGACUAAGGUUUCCAGAGGAAGGCUCGUCCGCUCUGGGUUAGUCGGGUCCUAAGCUGAGGCCGACAGGCGUAGGCGAUGGAUAACAGGUUGAUAUUCCUGUACCACCUAUAAUCGUUUUAAUCGAUGGGGGGACGCAGUAGGAUAGGCGAAGCGUGCGAUUGGAUUGCACGUCUAAGCAGUAAGGCUGAGUAUUAGGCAAAUCCGGUACUCGUUAAGGCUGAGCUGUGAUGGGGAGAAGACAUUGUGUCUUCGAGUCGUUGAUUUCACACUGCCGAGAAAAGCCUCUAGAUAGAAAAUAGGUGCCCGUACCGCAAACCGACACAGGUAGUCAAGAUGAGA
rnacentral:rRNA from 1 species